GGGCGGUUAGCUCAGUUGGUUAGAGCACUCGGUUGACAUCCGAGAGGUCGUAGGUUCGAGCCCUAUACCGCCCA
rnacentral:tRNA from 1 species